rnacentral:rRNA from 1 species
AACGAACGCUGGCGGCGCGCUUAACACAUGCAAGUCGAACGAGAAGGCGUAGCAAUACGCUUGUACAGUGGCGAACGGGUGAGGAAUACAUGGGUAACCUACCCUCGAGUGGGGGAUAACCCGCCGAAAGGCGGGCUAAUACCGCGUACGCUUCCGAUCUUGCGGGAUUGGAAGGAAAGCUGUCCCUUGGGGAUGGCGCUCAAGGAUGGGCUCAUGUCCUAUCAGCUUGUUGGAGGGUAACGGCCUACCAAGGCAUCGACGGGUAGCUGGUCUGAGAGGACGAUCAGCCACACUGGCACUGCGACACGGGCCAGACUCCUACGGGAGGCAGCAGUGAGGAAUAUUGCGCAAUGGGCGAAAGCCUGACGCAGCGACGCCGCGUGGGGGAUGAAGGUCUUCGGAUUGUAAACCCCUUUCGGGAGGGAAGACGGCCUUAGACAACUAAGGCGGACGGUACCUCCAGAAGCAGCCACGGCUAACUUCGUGCCAGCAGCCGCAGUAAU